rnacentral:misc_RNA from 1 species
GAUAAGACUCAUUUUCCAGGCGUAGAAGUGGAGGGUCUUGCAUUUGGGUUAUGGAACCAAACUCUUGUAGUCUUGAACGUAACAUAGUAUUAGUAUUGAUCUUGUGAGCAUGGAGAGCCACGUCAUGCAAAGCAUCAAAGAGGACCAAAGUAUUUUUCGCUGAAAGGUGAGACCGAUACAUGUUGUAUAUUUCCAUAACGGCCUGAAUCAAUAAAAGUUGUACAGCAGCUCUACAUUUUGCAUCAGAUAU